rnacentral:rRNA from 1 species
AUUGAACGCUGGCGGCAUGCUUUACACAUGCAAGUCGAACGGCAGCGCGGGCUUCGGCCUGGCGGCGAGUGGCGAACGGGUGAGUAAUGCAUCGGAACGUGCCCAGUAGUGGGGGAUAGCCCGGCGAAAGCCGGAUUAAUACCGCAUACGACCUGAGGGUGAAAGCGGGAGACCGAAAGGCCUCGCGCUAUUGGAGCGGCCGAUGUCGGAUUAGCUAGUUGGUGGGGUAAAGGCUUACCAAGGCGACGAUCCGUAGCUGGUCUGAGAGGACGACCAGCCACACUGGGACUGAGACACGGCCCAGACUCCUACGGGAGGCAGCAGUGGGGAAUUUUGGACAAUGGGGGCAACCCUGAUCCAGCCAUGCCGCGUGCGGGAAGAAGGCCUUCGGGUUGUAAACCGCUUUUGUUCGGGAAGAAAUCCUCUGGGCUAAUACCCCGGGGGGAUGACGGUACCGGAAGAAUAAGCACCGGCUAACUACGUG